UACGAAGGGGGCGAGCGUUAUUCGGAAUCACUGGGCGUAAAGCGUGCGUAGGCUGUUUCGCAAGUUGGAAGUGAAAGCCCGGGGCUCAACCCCGGAAUUGCUUUCAAAACUGCGAGACUCGAAUUCGGGAGAGGAUAGCGGAAUUUCCAGUGUAGUAGUGAAAUACGUAGAUAUUGGAAGGAACACCAGUGGCGUAAGCGGCUAUCUGGACCGACAUUGACGCUGAGGCACGAAAGCGUGGGGAGCAAACAGG
rnacentral:rRNA from 1 species